rnacentral:rRNA from 1 species
AUGCACGCUGGCGGCGUGCCUAAUACAUGCAAGUCGAGCGAACGGACGAGAAGCUUGCUUCUCUGAUGUUAGCGGCGGACGGGUGAGUAACACGUGGAUAACCUACCUAUAAGACUGGGAUAACUUCGGGAAACCGGAGCUAAUACCGGAUAAUAUUUUGAACCGCAUGGUUCAAAAGUGAAAGACGGUCUUGCUGUCACUUAUAGAUGGAUCCGCGCUGCAUUAGCUAGUUGGUAAGGUAACGGCUUACUAAGGCAACGAUGCAUAGCCGACCUGAGAGGGUGAUCGGCCACACUGGAACUGAGACACGGUCCAGACUCCUACGGGAGGCAGCAGUAGGGAAUCUUCCGCAAUGGGCGAAAGCCUGACGGAGCAACGCCGCGUGAGUGAUGAAGGUCUUCGGAUCGUAAAACUCUGUUAUUAGGGAAGAACAUAUGUGUAAGUAACUGUGCACAUCUUGACGGUACCUAAUCAGAAAGCCACGGCUAACUACGUG